UACGUAGGGUGCGAGCGUUGUCCGGAAUUAUUGGGCGUAAAGAGCUCUAGGCGGUUUGUCGCGUCUGCUGUGAAAACUCGAGGCUCAACCUCGAGAUGUCGGCGGAAACCGUCUGGCUAGAGUCCGGAAGAGGAGAGUGGAAUUCCUGGUGUAGCGGUGAAAUGCGCAGAUACCAGGAGGAACACCGAUGGCGAAGGCAGGUCUCUGGGCAUUAACUGACGCUGAGGAGCGAAAGCAUGGGGAGCGAACAGG
rnacentral:rRNA from 1 species